rnacentral:rRNA from 1 species
AACGAACGCUGGCAGCGUGGAUUAGGCAUGCAAGUCGAACGAUAUCCAGAGUGUUUGAGUAGCAAUAUGAGAACAUUCUGGUGACAGUGGCGGAAGGGUGCGUAACGCGUGGGUAAUCUACCUUAAAGCCCGGGGUAACUCGCCGAAAGGCGUGCUAAUACCGGAUGUGGUGGUUUGUCGCAUGACAGACUUACUAAAGGCGGGGAUCUUUCGGGACCUGUCGCUUUUUGAGGAACCUGCGUCCCAUCAGCUAGUUGGUGAGGUAACGGCCCACCAAGGCUUACGGGUAGCUGGUCUGAGAGGAUGGUCAGCCACACUGGGACUGAGACACUGCCCAGACUCCUACGGGAGGCUGCAGUCGAGGAUCAUUUGCAAUGGGCGAAAGCCUGACAAUGCGACGCUGCGUGGAGGAUGAAGGCCUUCGGGUUGUAAACUCCUGUCAUUCGGGAACAAUAAAUCGGGCGUGAAUAAUGCCCGAGAUUGAUGGUACCGGAAGAGGAAGCCACGGCUAACUCUGUGCCAGCAGCCGCGGUAAUACAGAGGUGGCAAGCGUUGUUCGGAUUUACUGGGCGUAAAGGGUGCGUAGGUGGUCUUGUGUGUCGAAUGUGAAAUACCACUGCCCAACGGUGGAACUGCAUUCGAAACUGCGAGGCUUGAGUACAGGAUGGGAGAGCGGAAUUUCUUGGUGUAGCGGUGAAAUGCGUNNNAUAUCAAGAAGAACACCGGUGGCGAAAGCGACUCUCUNNNNUGAUACUGACACUGAGGCACGAAAGCUGGGGGAGCAAACAGGAUUAGAUACCCNNGGUAGUCCCAGCUGUAAGCGGUGCACACUUGGUGUAGGGAGAAUUGACCCUCUCUGUGCCGGAGUUAACACGUUAAGUGUGCCGCCUGGGGAGUACGGCCGCAAGGCUAAAACUCAAAGAAAUUGACGGGGGCCCGCACAAGCGGAGGAGCAUGUGGCUCAAUUCGAUGCAACGCGAAGAACCUUACCAGGGUUUGACAUGCAGCUGCAAGUUUGCUGAAAGGCAGACCGCCUUCGAGGGUGCUGCACAGGUGCUGCAUGGCUGUCGUCAGUUCGUGCCGUGAGGUGUCGGGUUAAGUCCCUCAACGAACGCAACCCUUGUGUUUAGUUGCUACUACAGAUGAUGAGUCUGUAAGCACUCUAGACAGACUGCCCGUUUACGCGGGAGGAAGGUGGGGAUGACGUCAAGUCAGUAUGGCCUUUAUAUCCUGGGCUGCACACGUGCUACAAUGGCCGGUACAGAAGGAAGCAAUACCGCGAGGUGGAGCAAAUCCCCAAAACCGGCCCCAGUUCAGAUUGGAGUCUGCAACUCGACUCCAUGAAGUCGGAUUCGCUAGUAACGGCGUAUCAGCUACGGCGCCGUGAAUACGUUCCCGGGCCU